AUGUUAGAUGAUGUCGAUAAAUCUUUACAUUUUCAAUUGCAAGCUCACCGUUUCAUCAACCAAUCCAUCAUCAUCAAUCAUCAUUACCAAUCUCAAUUAUCGCAUUUUUCAUUAUUCUCUCACAAUAUUCUUCAACCUUCGUUCUUCUAUUCUUCUUCCUCACCUCACAAUUCCAUCAUCGAUUUCAGGUUAUUGAUUGUAGAAGGUUGA